rnacentral:rRNA from 1 species
UGCCAGACUCCUACGGGAGGCAGCCGUGGGGAAUAUUGCACAAUGGGGGAAACCCUGAUGCAGCGACGCCGCGUGAGUGAAGAAGUAUUUCGGUAUGUAAAGCUCUAUCAGCAGGGAAGAAAAUGACGGUACCUGAUUAAGAAGCCCCGGCUAACUACGUGCCAGCAGCCGCGGUAAUACGUAGGGGGCAAGCGUUAUCCGGAUUUACUGGGUGUAAAGGGAGCGUAGACGGCAGCGCAAGUCUGAAGUGAAAUGCCGGGGCUUAACCCCGGAACUGCUUUGGAAACUGUGCAGCUGGAGUGCAGGAGAGGUAAGUGGAAUUCCUAGUGUAGCGGUGAAAUGCGUAGAUAUUAGGAGGAACACCAGUGGCGAAGGCGGCUUACUGGACUGUAACUGACGUUGAGGCUCGAAAGCGUGGGGAGCAAACAGGAUUAGAUGCCCCCGUA